UUGUCAUAUCACAGUCAGGUUCUGUACACACAGAGGAGACAGCCCUUACUAUGUUUGUACAAUGAAAAUUAAAACAAAAUGAGUAUAGCAAGGGAACGGUAGAGAAAAGUGUAAAGUAACAGCAGUAGAAUGGUGUGACUGAACCUGAAAUAUGUAGAAUUAGUUAUUUUCAAGGUUUCCAAAUAUAUAGCUGCAGCUCUGGUUGCAUGAAGAGAGGAAACAAAUUAUUUCAGUCUCAAAAUUAACAUUUUAAGUAUGCAUAUUUUUGCUUUUGACAGCAUGCCUUCAAAUACCUGUAAGUUGUCAACUGGUAACUAUUGUUGUCUAACCAUGAUCUUAAGAGACACAUCAAAAGAGAAUUAAGGCUAUGACAGCAGUCAGUGCAAAUCGGAAAAGUUCCAGGUGGGAAGACAAAUCCAAUGCUUCUGUUACUUUACUGUGGAUUCCAGGAGGAGAAAACGUAGACAGCAACCGCUAGAAAAUACUGAAUCUGAGAAUGCCUCCUUUCUGGAUGUACGCGAGGCCUUUAUACUUUGGA